CCUACGGGAGGCAGCAGUAAGGAAUAUUGGUCAAUGGACGAAAGUCUGAACCAGCCAUGCCGCGUGAAGGAUGAAGGCCCUCUGGGUUGUAAACUUCUUUUAUCUGGGACGAAAAAAGCUCAUUCUUGAGCACUUGACGGUACCAGAGGAAUAAGCACCGGCUAACUCCGUGCCAGCAGCCGCGGUAAUACGGAGGGUGCAAGCGUUAUCCGGAUUCACUGGGUUUAAAGGGUGCGUAGGUGGGUCUGUAAGUCAGUGGUGAAAUCUCCGAGCUUAACUCGGAAACUGCCAUUGAUACUAUAGGUCUUGAAUCAUCUGGAGGUAAGCAGAAUAUGUCAUGUAGCGGUGAAAUGCUUAGAUAUGACAUAGAACACCAAUUGCGAAGGCAGCUUACUACGGGUGCAUUGACACUGAGGCACGAAAGCGUGGGGAUCAAACAGGAUUAGAUACCCUGGUAGUCCACGCCCUAAACGAUGGAUACUCGACAUCAGCGAUACACUGUUGGUGUCUGAGNGAAGANAUAAUAUCCACCNCGAGACGACGACGAGUAGAACGACGAAGAAAGUAGAGACGNGAGAGNGCGAGGACGACACGAGGGAGGAGG
rnacentral:rRNA from 1 species